UCGAAGUUUUUUUAAAAUUUUUAAAUAACAUACGAGUACUAUACAUAUAACGUAGGCUGUGGAUCACGGAUAUGUUAGAUACGUUCGUUUUAAAUCAGUUUUUAACAUUAUUAACAAAAAAAAAAAGAUUAAUAAGCAUAAUUGUUCAUUGAUUAUAUUAAAAGUUUUUCAACAUUUUUCUGAACACAAUGGUACUAGGAUAACCUUUGUGACAUUUACAUAAGUGGCUUUACAGUUAACGGAUUUCGAAAUGAUUUAUUCGCAUUAAUAAAAGUGACAUACAGUAUGAACAAUGGUCGAUUUACUGGGUGCAAAAAAAAAAUAUCGCGUUAGUGGCAAAUGUUUGUCGGAUCGUUUUGAACAAAUUUAUCUAAGAGAAUUCGGGUCUAAAACCGGUUUCGAGCCAGCGAUUUUUAAGGUGAAAUUUUGUAGGGAUUAUAAAAAUUUCGUUGACAGUUUUUGAGAUAUCCGAAUGAAAUUUAAAUCGGAGGGUCUUUCAAACAUUCUAUUGAUCAUUUGUCAUAACUGGCCAGAUUGGACAACUAUAUAACAUAUCGCCCAUACAACCGAUUAUUCGGAUUUAUUAAACUUCGCUUUAAAAAUCGCUGACUCGAAACCGGUUUUAAUCCCACAGCUUUUUAAGUAAAAUUGUUCAGUAUAAUCCGUAGAACAUUUCCCGCAGACGCCAUAUUACAAGAAUUAUUAUUUGUUCAGAAAGCACAUAAUAGGACUGAGUCGAUUUAAAAAAAUUUAUUGAACCAAUCGUUACAGUUCUUUAAAAAGCGCUGCCAGCGAGUUUCACACAGAAUUUAAUCGCGUACCUCUGCUCUAACGAACGCUGCAUUUUCGGCUUGCACCACUCACAGAAACACGUCGCUCGAAAAUGUUUGUCCUGACUCUGCAGGUGCUCGAAAACAACUGACCAGCCGCUCGUUCGUUAGCUAGGAACGUCCCCUACCGAAUCCAGUCGGUGGGCGCACUCUCCGAAGUACAGUCGCGACGGAAGAAUAUCAGUAUCAAUAAUACUUUCCCAAACAAACCCUACAUAGCAAAAAAAAUCGAUCCGCCCUAAUGAUCACCCUGUUAUAUGUAGAUCAUCGUUUUGUGAUAAAAAAUAUUAAUGAUUGUGGUAAAGGUUAAAGAUUCUGUCUGAAAGUCUUAAGGAUAUUCAUAGUAAAACAGUUUAUAACAAAUUUAGAAAAAAAAGUAGUAAUCAGUUGGCAUUAGGUCCGGACUAUAAGAUGGAUGAUUCCGACUGUAAGGGAAUGGCAUGGCGAAUUCUGAAACUCAAUCCCCUCCCAUUGAUUAACCUAGCCGUUUCUGGGAGAAUAUUUCCUUCACGGACGGCAAAUUGUUGCCUGUACAAAUCCGUAUUAAGAGAUUGGCCUUAAAAGAACAGCUGAUAGUAGAUGGUUUUUACCGAUCAUACCAAACACAUGAUUGAAUUAAAAGGUGCACUUUUCGUCACCAGAAACCAUCCGCUUUCCAAAUGGAUCGAAUCAGCGAUUUGCAGUCUUAUUUCUAAACGGAUUUAUGUGCAAUGUUUCGGGUAAUAGAAACAGUGAUUGCCUGAGGGUCAGUCUCGACUAUUUCCAUUAGUUUAGCUUCUUUCACUUCAAAAUUACCGAAACAGACGAAAGUAAAUCGCGUGUGAUUUGAUAUUACUGUAUCAGCGCCAUAAAGAUUAUUAAAAUUUUCAGGAGAAUUGCUUACAUUUUCGUCUUUAUUGAAAAAAAAACUUAAUUUGCGUAUUAUUUCUUUGUUGAUGUUUAUCUUUGCUCAAUUAAUAUUGAGACAAGCACCCACAAUACUGUCUCAGACUUUUUUUGUACGAAAUCUUAUAUUGUCUUUCAAUUAUAAUUUCAACAUUUUUUAAUAAAAUAUAAUUUAAAUUAGGUGGCAACCCUUCUCAACAAUCUUUAUUUGUUAAUCUGCGUUUGUUCAACAACAACCUUAUUGUAUGAAUUCGUUCAUCUUUUAAAUAUUUUGCAUCGAAAUUUGUAAACAGAUGGUAACACCCAACAAAAAAUUUUGCUUUGUUAGCGUUUCAAUUUGUUUUUAAUUUAUAACCAUAUUGUAUGCUUUUUUUUGGCAUUGUUACAUUUACAUAAAUUUGCAAACAGAUGUAGUCUCACUAAAAAUAUUUCUAAUUGCAAGCGUUCUCAAAUCGUUUUAAUUUUAUAAUUAUUUUGUAACUAACCUUUUUAAAAGAGGUACUGCAUAUAAAUAUAUAAGCAGGUGGUAGCCCCUUUAAAACUAUUUUUAACAGUAAACCAGCUUAUUUUUUGUUUUGAACGUUAACAAAUUCUUUGCUGAAACUAUUACACUUAAAAACUAAUUUCGAAGAAAAUACUUAUUUUUAAAAUAAAAUGCUGUAAUUAAUAUAAUUAAAACCUAAUUUCGUAGAAAACAUUUAUUUUUAAAUUAAAAUGUAAACCAUAAACAUCAAAAACAUAUACACAACUAAAUUCUAUUAAUUUCUAUGUGUUAGUACAUUUAGUAUUUGUCAAUUAAAAUUUUAUUUUUGUGCAUGUAUGAGUAUCAUGUGUUUGCGUCUAACUCACACACACUGUACUCGGUUAGUGUCGUAAAACCGAUCGCGUUAAAUGGUCACUCACAUUAAAUGCCUAAAAG